AUUGACCUCACCUUAAUCAAUAUUUGAUUCAGUUUGAUCAACUACUAAAUCGAUUCAAACGCAAUAUGAUCAAAUCAGAAACCCUUACAUGUAAUCCAAUUACAGGAUCUAAUUUGAUCUACCCAUGACCAAUCCCUCAUGCACAAAUACUAAUUUCAAAUUUUAAAUCAAAAAUUUUCAAAUCUAAAUUCUUUGCAUGAAGAGUAAAGAGUAAAUUUUGAUCUUGAAAUAAUUUUAGAUCAUGCAUACAAAUAUGUAUCACAUACAUAAACAAGUU
rnacentral:lncRNA from 1 species